rnacentral:rRNA from 1 species
GAUGAACGCUGGCGGCGUGCCUAAUACAUGCAAGUCGAGCGAACGGACGAGAAGCUUGCUUCUCUGAUGUUAGCGGCGGACGGGUGAGUAACACGUGGAUAACCUACCUAUAAGACUGGGAUAACUUCGGGAAACCGGAGCUAAUACCGGAUAAUAUUUUGAACCGCAUGGUUCAAAAGUGAAAGACGGUCUUGCUGUCACUUAUAGAUGGAUCCGCGCUGCAUUAGCUAGUUGGUAAGGUAACGGCUUACCAAGGCAACGAUGCAUAGCCGACCUGAGAGGGUGAUCGGCCACACUGGAACUGAGACACGGUCCAGACUCCUACGGGAGGCAGCAGUAGGGAAUCUUCCGCAAUGGGCGAAAGCCUGACGGAGCAACGCCGCGUGAGUGAUGAAGGUCUUCGGAUCGUAAAACUCUGUUAUUAGGGAAGAACAUAUGUGUAAGUAACUGUGCACAUCUUGACGGUACCUAAUCAGAAAGCCACGGCUAACUACGUGCCAGCAGCCGCGGUAAUACGUAGGUGGCAAGCGUUAUCCGGAAUUAUUGGGCGUAAAGCGCGCGUAGGCGGUUUUUUAAGUCUGAUGUGAAAGCCCACGGCUCAACCGUGGAGGGUCAUUGGAAACUGGAAAACUUGAGUGCAGAAGAGGAAAGUGGAAUUCCAUGUGUAGCGGUGAAAUGCGCAGAGAUAUGGAGGAACACCAGUGGCGAAGGCGACUUUCUGGUCUGUAACUGACGCUGAUGUGCGAAAGCGUGGGGAUCAAACAGGAUUAGAUACCCUGGUAGUCCACGCCGUAAACGAUGAGUGCUGAGUGUUAGGGGGUUUCCGCCCCUUAGUGCUGCAGCUAACGCAUUAAGCACUCCGCCUGGGGAGUACGACCGCAAGGUUGAAACUCAAAGGAAUUGACGGGGACCCGCACAAGCGGUGGAGCAUGUGGUUUAAUUCGAAGCAACGCGAAGAACCUUACCAAAUCUUGACAUCCUUUGACAACUCUAGAGAUAGAGCCUUCCCCUUCGGGGGGGCAAAGUGACAGGUGGUGCAUGGUUGUCGUCAGCUCGUGUCGUGAGAUGUUGGGUUAAGUCCCGCAACGAGCGCAACCCUUAAGCUUAGUUGCCAUCAUUAAGUUGGGCACUCUAAGUUGACUGCCGGUGACAAACCGGAGGAAGGUGGGGAUGACGUCAAAUCAUCAUGCCCCUUAUGAUUUGGGCUACACACGUGCUACAAUGGACAAUACAAAGGGCAGCGAAACCGCGAGGUCAAGCAAAUCCCAUAAAGUUGUUCUCAGUUCGGAUUGUAGUCUGCAACUCGACUACAUGAAGCUGGAAUCGCUAGUAAUCGUAGAUCAGCAUGCUACGGUGAAUACGUUCCCGGGUCU